UACGAAGGGGGCUAGCGUUGCUCGGAUUGACUGGGCGUAAAGGGCGCGUAGGCGGUUUGCAUAGUCAGACGUGAAAUUCCUGGGCUUAACCUGGGGGCUGCGUUUGAUACAUGCAGGCUUGAGUUCGGAAGAGGGUCGUGGAAUUCCCAGUGUAGAGGUGAAAUUCGUAGAUAUUGGGAAGAACACCGGUGGCGAAGGCGGCGACCUGGUCCGAUACUGACGCUGAGACGCGAAAGCGUGGGGAGCAAACAGG
rnacentral:rRNA from 1 species